UACGGAGGGUGCAAGCGUUAUCCGGAUUCACUGGGUUUAAAGGGUGCGUAGGCGGGCAGGUAAGUCCGUGGCGAAAUCUCUGAGCUUAACUCAGAAACUGCCAUGGAUACUAUUUGUCUUGAAUAUUGUGGAGGUAAGCGGAAUAUGUCAUGUAGCGGUGAAAUGCUUAGAUAUGACAUAGAACACCAAUUGCGAAGGCAGCUUACUACACAGUUAUUGACGCUGAGGCACGAAAGCGUGGGGAUCAAACAGG
rnacentral:rRNA from 1 species